ACAGUCAGAGACACACACAGUCAGACACAAACACACACACAGUCAGAAACAAACACACACAGUCAGACACACACACACACAGUCAGACACACAGUCAGACACAAACACACACACAUACACUCACAAACACAGUCAGACACAAACACACACAGUCAGACACAAACACACACACACACACAGUCAGAGACACACACAGUCAGACACAAACACACACACACACAGUCAGACACAAACACACACACACACACAGUCAGACACAAACACACACACAGUCACACACACACAGUCAGACACACAGUCAGACACAAACACACACACACACACUCACAAACACAGUCAGACACA